rnacentral:rRNA from 1 species
AGUGAACGCUGGCGGUAGGCCUAACACAUGCAAGUCGAACGGCAGCACAGUAAGAGCUUGCUCUUACGGGUGGCGAGUGGCGGACGGGUGAGGAAUACAUCGGAAUCUACUUUUUCGUGGGGGAUAACGUAGGGAAACUUACGCUAAUACCGCAUACGACCUACGGGUGAAAGCAGGGGAUCUUCGGACCUUGCGCGAUUGAAUGAGUCGAUGUCGGAUUAGCUAGUUGGCGGGGUAAAGGCCCACCAAGGCGACGAUCCGUAGCUGGUCUGAGAGGAUGAUCAGCCACACUGGAACUGAGACACGGUCCAGACUCCUACGGGAGGCAGCAGUGGGGAAUAUUGGACAAAGGGCGCAAGCCUGAUCCAGCCAUACCGCGUGGGUGAAGAAGGCCUUCGGGUUGUAAAGCCCUUUUGUUGGGAAAGAAAAGCAGCAGGUUAAUACCCCGCUGUUCUGACGGUACCCAAAGAAUAAGCACCGGCUAACUUCGUG